rnacentral:rRNA from 1 species
CAGUCGCCACGGUAAUACAGAGGGUGCAAGCGUUAAUCGGAAUUACUGGGCGUAAAGCGCGCGUAGGUGGUUUGUUAAGUUGGAUGUGAAAUCCCCGGGCUCAACCUGGGAACUGCAUCCAAAACUGGCAAGCUAGAGUAUGGUAGAGGGUGGUGGAAUUUCCUGUGUAGCGGUGAAAUGCGUAGAUAUAGGAAGGAACACCAGUGGCGAAGGCGACCACCUGGACUGAUACUGACACUGAGGUGCGAAAGCGUGGGGAGCAAACAGGAUUAGAUACCCCUGUAGUCCCUGUCUCUUAUAU